UGAGCAACCUGCCCCUGGCUCUGGGGUAACCCCGGGAAACCGGAGCUAAUACCGGAUACGAGACCGAUUGGCAUCUUUACGGUCUGGAAAGUUUUUCGGCCAGGGAUGGGCUCGCGGCCUAUCAGCUUGUUGGUGAGGUAAUGGCUCACCAAGGCGACGACGGGUAGCCGGCCUGAGAGGGUGACCGGCCACACUGGGACUGAGACACGGCCCAGACUCCUACGGGAGGCA
rnacentral:rRNA from 1 species